rnacentral:rRNA from 1 species
GUGACGGUGCGACGCCGCGUGGGUGACGAAGGCCUUCGGGUUGUAAACCCCUGUCACCUGGGAAGAAAGGCAGGCAGUUAAUAGCUGUCCUGCUUGACGUUACCAGGGAAGGAAGCACCGGCUAAAUACGUGCCAGCAGCCGCGGUAAUACGUAUGGUGCAAACGUUGUUCGGAAUCACUGGGCUUAAAGAGCACGUAGGCGGUCGAGAUAGUCUGAUGUGAAAUCCCUCGGCUCAACCGAGGAACUGCAUCAGAUACUACUUGGCUUGAGUGCAGGAGGGGAGAGUGGAAUUCCUGGUGGAGCGGUGAAAUGCGUAGAUAUCAGGAGGAACGCCGGUGGCGAAAGCGACUCUCUGGCCUGCUACUGACGCUGAGGUGCGAAAGCCAGGGGAGCGAACGGGAUUAGAUACCCCGGUAGUCCUGGCCCUAAACGAUGGGCACUAAGUAGAGGGGUUUU